CCCGAUUGACCCGGAAUAGCCGCAAAUCGCCAGUCUGAAUUGACUGGCGAUUUGCAGCGAUCACUGACAUGGGGGGGGGGGGGUCUCAGGACCCCCCCAGGGGUUUGCACGGGGUGCCUGCUGAUAGAUAUCAGCAGUCUCGCGGAGACCCAUUCACACUAGUGUUAAAUUCACACCGCGGAAUUCCUUAGUGUGAACAUACCCUUAGAAGGAUUUCGUUUCAGACAUAGGGAAGUUGUGAUGUUUGAGACAGCUGACAGUCAGAGGUGUUCGGUAAAAGUGCAGGAGUGAUGUCAUGGGAAGAGGUAUGUAGCUGGGUGUCAUUAUCAUAAAGAUUGCACAGAAAGCCAAAUCUGCCAAUAGUUUGUCCAAUGGGGGCUGUGUAGAGAGAGAAAAAAAACAUAAGACCCAGGAUUCAUCCCUGCCUGAGGAACUUUGACAGCAAGAAGAAGAGGGGAAGAAGUAGAGUCAGUAAAUAAUGCACUAAAGGUGCAGUCAAAAAGAAAUCAUGGCUUAUAUAAAACGUCCUCUGGGGGUCCCCAUACCAUCCAGGACAUAACCCUGUCCAGCUGUAGCAUCAUCUUUGUCCCCGCUGAAGCACAAGCUGUGACAAAUUCCAGGUAUUGAGGGCAGGUCUACCACUCCUCUGUGCUCACUCCUGUCCUGUCUGUCACACUCCUUUCUGAAAAAAGAGAGUAGAGAUUACAGAGCAGCCUGCAGUGAUUGGACGAAGAGACCCAGCACAGCAGGCCAAGGGAGAAAGUGAGUGCAUGAUACGUGUAAGACCAGUGGAACAAUACUGAGGAGAAGUUGUCUUGAGAUUUAGAAGUCAGAAGAUUGUUUGAGAUGUUCCUUAGGGCAGUUUCUUUCUAAAGUGUGGACACCAGCUUAUAUGCAGUGAAGGACAUAGGGGGAGAUUUAUCAUUAUAUAUACUGUUUUCAGGCUCUAUAUUGUAUUAAAAAAAAUUGUGCAAAUGCGGAUUUUGCGUGUUUUUUUUUUUGCGUAAUUUUUGAUAGAAGAUCACAUCUGGAAUUCUAAGUUACGGUCUACGGUAGAGCUAAUUCUGCAGUGCACCUCACUCCGUGUAGUAGCUGUAAUGUCCUGGCACUUUGGAGAGGCCGGGACCUCUGGCUAAUACCGGACCUCACCAUUCGCGGUGAUGCCCGGUAUUAACCCAUUAGACACUGCAAUCAAAUCUGAUCACCGCAUCUAAAAAUAGCCAGAAAUACUCCCGGCAGCCCAGUGGAGCUGAUCGGAACCACCGCGGUAAAACCGCAGUGUUAUGAUCAGCUAUGAGGACAUGAGUUAGAAAUUAUUCCCGAUGUUCAAACUUCAAACUGUGCAGGAGAUUGCACCCGUGUAGAGUGUAACCAUAGUGACCGUACAGCUAAGAAUACCACUGUAUGUGCAG